UAAGAGAAGAAGAAAUGAUUUUCUAAUAUAUGGUAGCUAGAUGUACUAAGAAAUGAAAUACUGGAAUGAUUUCUGUUGCAUUGUAAGAACUAUGAAAACCACCAUUAUUUUUUAAAAUCAAUCUCUGUCCUGUGGCUGGUUCCCUGCUGCCUUUCCAAACAACUUCAACAAUGUCUUCCAGAAAUCUCUGAAGCCCCUCCCGUGUCUUCCUCUCUGUACCUUACAUUAUUUCUGUUAAGGAACUUGCUUCUUUUCUAUCCAGGCAUAGACUCUCGAAAUUGGGGUUUGCAAGUGGCUCAACACUGUAUUCCCCAUGGUGCCUAAAUGGGUCUGGAGCCUAAUAGGACUUCAAUAUAUAACUGUGAAAAGGAUGAGUGACCUCUUCCUGCUUCCACUCAAGGAAGCCGUGGCCAAGGGCAUCAAACUGGCGUCUGUUUCAGAGGUUCCAGUCAACAGAGCUGACCCCUAGCUGCCAGACAACAGCCACAGUAGCUGUGUGAACAUACUCCUUCUCAUUCAAGGAUGGCUAAAAGGGAGGGGCACAUCUCUCGCCCAAAGUGAAAUGCCUCACUCAUUUCUUCAGGGGACCAAAAGGAGUGGCAUUGAUUCAGCCAAAGCCUCAUUAUCAACACACCUCUGUGUGACUGUGUUCCCCAGUCUUCCACAUGUUUCUGUUACAGGAGAAGUUUCAUGUUUUAUAUGGGGUAACUCUGACCCAUGUAAGGUUGUAAAUCCAGAUAUACUGUAGAUGUAACAGAAACAAUGACAACUCUUCUUCAGUAUGAUCUCCUGUCUUCUAUUUAUUUGACCAAAAACACAUCUGUCCUGAGGGAUGAUCCUGUGAGAAUAAAAUCAGGACGGCACCAGAAACAAAGAGCAGAGGUGGCAAGUCUUACUUAGAUGUUAGAAAUCCUCUACUGUGCAUUUGUCUAUUUACUUAUCUUAGAAUAAAAAUCAGCAGUUGGAUGACUGUCACGGGGAUACACAGUAAUAUGUUUAUUUAAAUAAAAAAUGAAGUCACAUUUUUAUGAUUUGGCUGACAGUGAGAUAUGGCUUUGUCAAUUAGAUUACAUAGUUGAUAUUUACUAUAAACUGAUCAAGAUGAGUAUCAAAUUGUAGAUCCAAGAUUCUGUUGAAAGCAUAUAAUAAAAUAAAAGCAUUUUAU